rnacentral:misc_RNA from 1 species
GAACCGAAUUCUGCUCAGCCCUACACAUAUGUAAGUAUGCAUAUUUUGGCUUAAAGAAGACUUCGAAACUCUGACAAGCCAUGAAUAAAAAUUACGAUCUAUUAAUAAUAAGUAAUUUCUAGGUCAAAUCAAUAUAUCAUACUCAAGAGUCUUUAAGCCAUUUACAUCAGGACAGUCUCUAAUAUGACCAGGACCAUUCAUAUCACAUAAUCAUUUUUUUUCACUAUAUUGCAAAAAGUGACCAGGAGAGAAAUUCAUAGAAGUAAAUAUGCCACUUUGAGCCCUUGUUUCUUUAAGUUUCCCAAUUAAGGGAUUAUAAAGGCUUCUUAUACAAAAGGAUGCAGAAGUAAAAAGGAUAUCAACCAUAGGAUUUUUCUAAAAGCACCAUAUCAUAUAUUGUAUCUUAGCUAGCAAAAUAAGAAAAUCCCAUAAAAAGCUGAAAACAGCAGCUUCACGUGAAUGACUAACAUGUCAAUUGGUCAUGCAAAGCAUCAUAUCAACAUAUAAUUUUUUGAACAAAAAGAUGCAUGUACAGAACAAAAACACUCCCGUCAUACCACAAAGCAAGAGAUAGAAAAUUCCCUUCCACCAAUAGUGACUGACUGACUGCCAGUGUGCCACAGAUAUAGAGGAUAGGGGAAAACAAGCACAAGAAGAGAAGAAAUUUGUAGAUCUAAUAAAUAAAUCUAUAAAAUCCAAAAUCAAACGCAACCAAUCAAGUUUAUUAUCUCAUUUAAAUGCCAAACACAAACAACUAACUUGUGAUAUGCCAGCAUUUGAUUAAAAUACGAAUAUCCAACAUUAUGACAUGAAAUAUACACAAUCAGUUUGACAUGAGAAACAUGAAUGCAUGAAAUUAAUUAAGAAAGUCUUUAAUAAAAUAACCAGGCAUUAAAGAAGAAAAAAAGGUAAUUAUAUAACACACGAUAAAACUUCACUUCUGCAAACAGCAUGUGUAGGAAAGGAGCAUGAAGAAAGAC